UAAUACGGAGGGUGCAAGCGUUGCUCGGAAUUAUUGGGCGUAAAGGGUAGGUAGGUGGUCUCAUUUGUCUGGGGUGAAAGCCUUGAGCUUAACUCAAGAAGUGCCCCAGAAACGGUGAGACUGGAGUCCUGGAGAGGGUCGUGGAAUUCCCGGUGUAGCGGUGAAAUGCGUAGAGAUCGGGAGGAACACCAGAGGCGAAGGCGGCGACCUGGACAGGUACUGACACUCAACUACGAAAGCGUGGGGAGCAAACAGGAUUAGAUACCCUGGUAGUCCACGCUGUAAACGAUGGGUACUAGGUUUGGUGGGUCUUGACCCCCGCCGAACCGGCGCUAACGCACUAAGUACCCCGCCUGGGAAGUACGGUCGCAAGACU
rnacentral:rRNA from 1 species